rnacentral:rRNA from 1 species
GGUCCAGCAACUAGCGAAUAAUAGCAGUUUUAAAAUCUACAUAUUAAUAACCUAUAAAAAAUUAAAACAACCUAAACAAACCAUUUUUCCGCCUUAGUAUGGGAGACAGAAAAGGCCUUAUCAGCAAUAGAAAAAGUACCGCAAGGGAAAGUUGAAAGAGAACUGAAACAAAUAAGCAACACAUAAAAAAGCAGAGAUUUAACCUCGUACCUUUUGCAUCAUGUUUUAGCAAGCGUAAAUUAAGCAAAAAGACUUGUAGUUUGAUUACCCGAAACCAAGUGAGCUACUCCGAGACAACCUUAUUGAAGGGUUAACCCGUCUCUGUGGCAAAAGAGUGGGAAGAUCUCCGAGUAGAAGUGAAAGACCUAUCGAACUUGGUUAUAGCUGGUUGCCUGAGAAAUGAAUAGUAGUUCAGCACUAUUAUUUCUUAAUUCGACCUAUAAUAAAACCCUCAGAUUUAGAGAAAUAAUAGCAGUUAAUUUAAAGGGGUACAGCCCUUUAAAUACAGAAUACAAUCUACCAAAUGGAUAAAGAUCAUAUAUUUUAAAAGUACUAUACCCAGGUGGGCCUAAGAGCAGCCAUCCUCUAAGAAAGCGUUAAAGCUCCUGUAUACAAAACACUUAUUAUACCGAAAAUAUAGUCUUAAUCCUCUAAACCUAUCAGGCUUUAUUAUUUAAUAUAAUAAUAAUUAUGCUAAUAUGAGUAAUAAGGGGAAGUCCCCCUCCUUGCACAAGUGUACCUCGGAACGAACCAACACCGACCAUUAAACGCCUCCAAAUUGAGGACAAUAGACAAAGCAUAAACAACUAGAAAUACGUCUAGACCUAAGCGUUAACCCCACACUGGUGUGCCCACAAGGAAAGACUAAAAGGAAGAGAAGGAACUCGGCAAAUCCACUUUAAGCCUCGCCUGUUUACCAAAAACAUCGCCUCUUGUGAUAAUAAAAAUAAGAGGUCCCGCCUGCCCGGUGACAUAAUGUUUAACGGCCGCGGUAUUUUAACCGUGCAAAGGUAGCGUAAUCACUUGUCUUUUAAAUGAAGACCUGUAUGAAAGGCAUCACGAGGGCUUAACUGUCUCCUCCUCCCAGUCAAUAAAAUUGAUCUCCCCGUGCAGAAGCGGGGAUAAUAACAUAAGACGAGAAGACCCUAUGGAGCUUUAAACAUAUUAGGUUUACGUCACUAAUCCCAAGAUAAAGGGUUGAACUAAAUAUACACCUUAAAAAUGUUUUUGGUUGGGGCGACCGCGGGAAAAUAUAUAACUCCCACGACGAGAAAGGACUAACCUUUCAAAACUAAGACCAUCAAGUCAAAGUCACAGAAAUUCUGACAAAUGAUCCGGCUUACCGAUCAACGAAACGAGUUACCCUAGGGAUAACAGCGCAAUCCCCUUUAAGAGCCCUUAUCGACAAGGGGGUUUACGACCUCGAUGUUGGAUCAGGACAUCCUAAUGGUGCAACCGCUAUUAAGGGUUCGUUUGUUCAACGAUUAAAGUCCUACGUGAUCUGAGUUCAGACCGGAGUAAUCCAGGUCAGUUUCUAUCUAUGAGUUACUUUUUCUAGUACGAAAGGACCGAAAAAGUGAGGCCUAUACUUCCAGUACGCCUCGCCCUCAUCUGCUGAAAACAAAUAAAACAGACAAGAGGGUUAAUAAACCUUCAACCAAGAUUUAGGUUAAU